rnacentral:lncRNA from 1 species
GCUGCUCCGAGGCGGGGGCCUCGGGCAGGUCGCUCUCCACGCAGUACACGGAGCAGAAGACUUGUCUCUUGGCGAGGGACGGGCGCCGCUGACCCAGCACGUCCAGGACCAGUCCGUCGGCGGCCCCCACGCGGGUCCUGGGCUCCAGCUCUUCGCCGGGGGGCGCCUCCUGCUGUUCAUCCCCUCCCUCUUUUCGAUCCCCAGCUUCCUCCUCUUCCUCCUCCAGCUCCAACUGCAGUGGCAAGGUCUGGGGAUUGAGAGGCCCGGCAUGACUAAGAGAUAUCGUGAAAUUACAACUCAACAAUGAAUUACAGCACAGGCUUUUCACAACUAAGAGACUGUCCAUCAUGGUGCCAGUUUUUCUCAAAAUGGCAUGUGUGCAUGAAAUUCUACAGGCAUAUGGGGUCGUGAUCUGCUAAUCUCCAGUUAUUAUAACUCCUUCCUGUUGCCUUGUGAAGAAGGCUCCUGCUUCCCCUUCACCUUCUGCGCGAUUGUAAGUUUCCUGAGGCCUCCUAGCCAUGCUUCUUGUUCACUCUGCGGAACUACCAAAUUAUGAUUGUAUGUCCCAGAAAUUCACUUAGAAGCUAAUAGAAAAAAUGAAACCAAAGCCUUUUGAGAGUUGAAAAUUUAUCAUGACAUAUGCUGGCUGCACAGUCAAAACUUAUCACUGCCCACGACUUCGGAAGCAUGACAGGAGAGCUGUGGGAGCCACUUCCUCGUCAGACGUGGUUUGAUAUGUCAAGUGAGAACCUGAGUAAAGCAAAGAGGUAAUCUUUUUAGCUGGGCCUUCCAUAUGUAGGGUGAUUGAAGUGAUUCCAUUAAUCUCUACUCACAAAAUAAAAAAAAGACGUUGUUUUAUAGAGUUUAUAAUUCUCUGAUGAGUUUUUUUAAGUUCCAAUAUAUCA